ensembl:lncRNA
AACCGUGACGUCAUCUGACUAAACCACCACACACAUAAGUUAAAGACAACGGGUGCACUGUGAUUUCGUGCUAUAUUUCCAUGUAAAAUAAUCUCUCAGAGAGAAAGUUAGAAGUGAAUGAAUGUGCUGCUCCUCUCUGCCCCUCACUGAACAGAGUAGCCGCAGAGAGAGGCGUGUCUCCGGGGGAAAGCAGGACCUCACACUCACCGGGCAGUACUGGCCAUUCUCUUCUACAGAAAGUAGCUAAGGUCAGUCUCCCCGGCGCGCGCACAGACAUAUGUAGUCAAAUCGGAGGAGUGAGCCAUAAGAUCUGUUAUGACGUCACGUUCAGAGUUCUAUAAGUUUCCUGAUGGCUGCAUUGUGUUGGAUGGAGCUUGACUGCCCUCGUGUGUCCAAACUCAGGAACGGCAGUUUCCCUGAAGGGGUAUUCUGUUCCAAGUUUGUGGUAGUUAGCCA